GUUCCACCACCCCCAAAGUGUGUGGGGUUGCGGGCCCUGGGCUUUCAGGGCAGGUGGCUCCAGGUGGCCGCCCAGGGUCAACACUCCCUGUCCCACCUGGUGGACGCUCAUGAGCAACAGCUGCCAACUUGACAGGUUGUUUUCUUUGGUUGGAGGCCACUGAGUGACUGGCAGGUUGCUGGGCCUCAUGUGGCUGCAGGGAGGGGUGAGGAAGGGGAUGGAGUACCAGGGGAACACGGCCGCAGAGUGACCUUCCACAUUCCUCCACACGAACAUGCUGACGCCACGGGAGGCCUCACUGAACGCAGGCCUGGGGGCCGAGUACUUGGUCUGGGCAGGGGGUUCCUGGCAGGGGCUCACACCUCCUCACCCCCUCCUCAGCCAAGGUGGCUUGGGCCCAGAGAAGGGGAGGUUGGAGAGGAGCAGAAGGCCAGGCCUCAAGUUUUGUUUUUUUUGUUUGUUUUGUUUUUUGUUUUUGAAAUGUAGUUUGACUCUUGUCACCCAGGCUGGAGUGCAGUGGCACGAUCUCAGUGGCCUUCAUACCUGGCUAAUUUUUUGUAUUUUUACUGGGGGUGGGGUUUUGCCAUGUUGGCCAGGCUGGUCUUGACCUCCCGACCUCAGGUGAUCCACUCACCUCAGCCUCCCAAAAUGGGAUUACAGGCAUGAGCCACCGCUCCCAACUUCAUUCAUUUUUACUUGAAAAACUCCAUUAAGCAUUUUUUUAAGGUAGACCUAGUGGUCCUGAAUGCCCUCAGCUUUGUUUGUCGAGGAAGCACGUUAUUUCUUUUUUCUUUCUGAAGGACAGCUUUGUCAGACAUAGUAUUAGUUGCUGGCAGUUUUUUUCUUUCAGCACUUUGAAUGUAUUAUUCGAUUCUGUCCUGACCUGCAAAGUUUCUUUAACUUUUGACUAUUUGAUUAUAUUGUGACUUGGUGAGUAUCUAUUUGGUUUGAACCUCUUUAGGAAUCUUUAAGCUUCAUGGAUUUAGAUGUGUAAAUCUUUCCCAUGAUUUAGGCAGUUUUCAGCCAUUCUUUAAAUAAGCUUUCUUCUCCUUUCUCUACUUUCCUUCCCAGACUCCCAUAACCUGACAAUGGUUUGCCUAAUGGUGUCUUGUUGGCUUUCUUUUGUCUGUCUCUUUUUUUUUUUCUUUUUUUUUUUUUGAGACAGAGUCAUGCUCUGUCACCCUGGCUGGAGUGUAAUGUGUGGUCUCGGCUCACAUUGCACUCCACCCUCCGCCUCCUGGGUUCAAGCGAUUCUCCUGCCUCAGCCUCCCAAGUAGCUGGGACUACAGGUGUGUGCCACCACACCCGGCUAAUUUUUGUAUUUUUAGUAGAGAUGGGGCUUUGUCAUGUUGGACAGGCUGGUCUUGAACUCCUGACCUCUUAAUCUGCCUGCCUCGGCCUCCCAAAGUGUUGGGAUUACAGGCUUGAGCCACCACACCCAGCCUUCUUUUCUCUUUUUUAUUCUUUUUUUCUUUGUCCUCUGACUGGAUAAUUUCAGAAGAUCUAUAUUGAAGUUUACAGAUUCUCUCUCCUGUUGAAGUUUACUAUUUUGUUAUAUCACCCAGUCUGGUCUUGAACUCCUGGGCUCAAGAGAUCCUCCCACCUUGGCCUCCCAAAGUGCUGAGUUUACAAGCAUGAGCCACUGCAUCCAGUCAGUCCCAGCACUUUGGGAAGCUGAGGUGGGAGGAUCACUUGAGCUUAGGAGUUUGAGACCAGCCUGGGCAACGUACUGAGAACUUGUCUCUAUAUUAAAAAAAAAAAAAAAGUCUUUGGGAGGCCAAAGCGGGAGGAUCACCUGAGGUCAGGAGUUCGAGACCAGCCUGGCCAACAUGGCAAAACCCCAUCUCUACUAAAAAUACAAAAAUUAGCCAGGUGUGGUGGCACACGCCUGUAGUGGUGGUGCAUGCCUGUAGUCCCAGCUACUCAAGAGGCUGAGGCAGGAGAAUCACUUGAACUGGGAGAUGGAGGUUGCAGUGAGCUGAGAUCGCACCAGUGCACUCCAGACUGGGCAACAGAGUGAGACUCCAUCUUAUAAAAGGAAAAAAGAAGAAAAGAAAAAUUCCAUAUCUGAGUGUUUACUCCUGAGUUUUUGACAUUGUUAUUAAGAUCGUGCUCUACUGUGAUGAUUUGGGUUUGUUUGAUAGUCAGAAAAAAGCAUAUUCUUUUGGGUGUUCAGCCACACUGCUUUGGUGUCACAACUGCACAUUGGUUUCACAGCUGCAGGACAAAUUCGAGCAUCUUAAAAUGAUUCAACAGGAGGAGAUAAGGAAGCUCGAGGAAGAGAAAAACAACUGGAAGGAGAAAUCAUAGAUUUUUAUAAAAUGAAAGCUGCCUCUGAAGCACUGCAGACUCAGCUGAGCACUGAUACAAAGAAAGACAAACAUCGACUUUUUACCUUAAUCCUUGCUGCAGUAUUUCCAAGUAAGAGUGGAGAUAGAUUUACCCUUUCUAAACUAUUAGCUGUAAUUUUAAGCAUUGGAGGUGUUGUACUGGUAAACCUGUCAGGGUCUGAAAAAUCUGCUGGAAGAGGUACAAUAGGUUCCAUUUGGUCUCUUGCUGGAGCCAUGCUCUAUGCUGUCUAUAUUGUUAUGAUUAAGAGAAAAGUAUAUAGAGAAGACAAGUUGGAUAUUCCAAUGUUCUUUGGUCUUGUAGGUUUGUUUAAUCUGCUGCUCUUAUGGCCAGGUUUCUUUUUACUUCAUUAUACUGGAUUUGAGGACUUCGAGUUUCCCAAUAAAGUAGUAUUAAUGUGCAUUAUCAUUAAUGGCCUUAUUGGAACAGUACUCUCAGAGUUCCUGUGGUUGUGGGGCUGCUUUCUUACCUCAUCAUUGAUAGGCACACUUGCACUAAGCCUUACAAUACCUCUGUCCAUAAUAGCUGACAUGUGUAUGCAAAAGGUGCAGUUUUCUUGGUUAUUUUUUGCAGGAGCUAUCCCUGUAUUUUUUUCAUUUUUUAUUGUAACUCUCCUAUGCCAUUAUAAUAAUUGGGAUCCUGUGAUGUUGGGAAUCAGAAGAAUAUUUGCUUUUAUAUGCAGAAAACAUCGAAUUCAGAGAGUUCCAGAAGACAGCGAACAGUGUGAGAGUCUCAUCUCUAUGCACAGUGUUUCUCAGGAGGAUGGAGCUAGUUAGCUGUUUGUUGUCUGUAGCCCAGGUUGAAUGCCUUUGAGAACUUGAUGCAUAAAAUUUGCAUGACUCCUCACUCCUUUCUGGAUCUCUCAUUGGACUCAAGCCAGCAUGGCUCACACCACAAAGGUUAACGGCAGUGCCUCAGAACAUAUUGAUGCUCUGAAAGAUAACCCCAGAAGAGUAUGAGGAGACAUACGCAGUCUACACAGGCCUGUAAGCAACAAGAACAACAGAAAACGGGAUACAUGUGCGGAACAUGCAGGUUAGUUACAUAGGUAUAUGUGUGCCAUGGUGGUUUGCUGCACCUAUUGACUCAUCCUCUGAGUUCCCUCCCCUCGCCCCGUACCCCUCAACAGACCCUGGUGUGUGUUGUUCCUCUCUCUGUGUCCACG